AAGCUAGAANUUUAUUCUAACUCUUAAUAAUUAUUAGUUAUUUAAAAAAAAUAAAUUUUCUAUUAUUUGUUUUUUAAAAAAUGUAUAAAAAAAUUAGAAUUUUUUCUUUAAAAACCAAAUUUAAUUU
rnacentral:rRNA from 1 species